rnacentral:sRNA from 12 species
CCUUGACAGAGAAUUAACUCUGACAUUUGCCAAGACAAGGAGAUUGAUAUG